rnacentral:rRNA from 1 species
CACGUAGGGGGCGAGCGUUGUCCGGAUUUAUUGGGCGUAAAGAGCUCGUAGGUGGCUUAGUAAGUCGGGUGUGAAACCUCCAGGCUCAACCUGGAGACGCCACCCGAUACUGCUAUAGCUUGAGUCCGGUAGGGGAGCGUGGAAUUCCUGGUGUAGCGGUGAAAUGCGCAGAUAUCAGGAGGAACACCAGCGGCGAAGGCGGCGCUCUGGGCCGGUACUGACACUGAGGAGCGAAAGCGUGGGGAGCGAACAGG